UUAAGCGACUAAGCGUACACGGUGGAUGCCCUGGCAGUCAGAGGCGAUGAAGGACGUGCUAAUCUGCGAUAAGCGUCGGUGAGGUGAUAUGAACCGUUAUAACCGGCGAUUUCCGAAUGGGGAAACCCAGUGUGUUUCGACACACUAUCAUUAACUGAAUCCAUAGGUUAAUGAGGCGAACCGGGGGAACUGAAACAUCUAAGUACCCCGAGGAAAAGAAAUCAACCGAGAUUCCCCCAGUAGCGGCGAGCGAACGGGGAGGAGCCCAGAGCCUGAAUCAGUGUGUGUGUUAGUGGAAGCGUCUGGAAAGGCGCGCGAUACAGGGUGACAGCCCCGUACACAAAAAUGCACAUAUUGUGAGCUCGAUGAGUAGGGCGGGACACGUGGUAUCCUGUCUGAAUAUGGGGGGACCAUCCUCCAAGGCUAAAUACUCCUGACUGACCGAUAGUGAACCAGUACCGUGAGGGAAAGGCGAAAAGAACCCCGGCGAGGGGAGUGAAAAAGAACCUGAAACCGUGUACGUACAAGCAGUGGGAGCCUCUUAAUGGGGUGACUGCGUACCUUUUGUAUAAUGGGUCAGCGACUUAUAUUCUGUAGCAAGGUUAACCGAAUAGGGGAGCCGAAGGGAAACCGAGUCUUAACUGGGCGUUAAGUUGCAGGGUAUAGACCCGAAACCCGGUGAUCUAGCCAUGGGCAGGUUGAAGGUUGGGUAACACUAACUGGAGGACCGAACCGACUAAUGUUGAAAAAUUAGCGGAUGACUUGUGGCUGGGGGUGAAAGGCCAAUCAAACCGGGAGAUAGCUGGUUCUCCCCGAAAGCUAUUUAGGUAGCGCCUCGUGAAUUCAUCUCCGGGGGUAGAGCACUGUUUCGGCAAGGGGGUCAUCCCGACUUACCAACCCGAUGCAAACUGCGAAUACCGGAGAAUGUUAUCACGGGAGACACACGGCGGGUGCUAACGUCCGUCGUGAAGAGGGAAACAACCCAGACCGCCAGCUAAGGUCCCAAAGUCAUGGUUAAGUGGGAAACGAUGUGGGAAGGCCCAGACAGCCAGGAUGUUGGCUUAGAAGCAGCCAUCAUUUAAAGAAAGCGUAAUAGCUCACUGGUCGAGUCGGCCUGCGCGGAAGAUGUAACGGGGCUAAACCAUGCACCGAAGCUGCGGCAGCGACACUAUGUGUUGUUGGGUAGGGGAGCGUUCUGUAAGCCUGUGAAGGUGGCCUGUGAGGGUUGCUGGAGGUAUCAGAAGUGCGAAUGCUGACAUAAGUAACGAUAAAGCGGGUGAAAAGCCCGCUCGCCGGAAGACCAAGGGUUCCUGUCCAACGUUAAUCGGGGCAGGGUGAGUCGACCCCUAAGGCGAGGCCGAAAGGCGUAGUCGAUGGGAAACAGGUUAAUAUUCCUGUACUUGGUGUUACUGCGAAGGGGGGACGGAGAAGGCUAUGUUGGCCGGGCGACGGUUGUCCCGGUUUAAGCGUGUAGGCUGGUUUUCCAGGCAAAUCCGGAAAACCAAGGCUGAGGCGUGAUGACGAGGCACUACGGUGCUGAAGCGACAAAUGCCCUGCUUCCAGGAAAAGCCUCUAAGCAUCAGGUAACAUCAAAUCGUACCCCAAACCGACACAGGUGGUCAGGUAGAGAAUACCAAGGCGCUUGAGAGAACUCGGGUGAAGGAACUAGGCAAAAUGGUGCCGUAACUUCGGGAGAAGGCACGCUGAUAUGUAGGUGAAGCGACUUGCUCGUGGAGCUGAAAUCAGUCGAAGAUACCAGCUGGCUGCAACUGUUUAUUAAAAACACAGCACUGUGCAAACACGAAAGUGGACGUAUACGGUGUGACGCCUGCCCGGUGCCGGAAGGUUAAUUGAUGGGGUUAGCGGUAACGCGAAGCUCUUGAUCGAAGCCCCGGUAAACGGCGGCCGUAACUAUAACGGUCCUAAGGUAGCGAAAUUCCUUGUCGGGUAAGUUCCGACCUGCACGAAUGGCGUAAUGAUGGCCAGGCUGUCUCCACCCGAGACUCAGUGAAAUUGAACUCGCUGUGAAGAUGCAGUGUACCCGCGGCAAGACGGAAAGACCCCGUGAACCUUUACUAUAGCUUGACACUGAACAUUGAGCCUUGAUGUGUAGGAUAGGUGGGAGGCUUUGAAGUGUGGACGCCAGUCUGCAUGGAGCCGGCCUUGAAAUACCACCCUUUAAUGUUUGAUGUUCUAACGUGGGCCCCUAACCCGGGUUGCGGACAGUGUCUGGUGGGUAGUUUGACUGGGGCGGUCUCCUCCUAAAGAGUAACGGAGGAGCACGAAGGUUGGCUAAUCCUGGUCGGACAUCAGGAGGUUAGUGCAAUGGCAUAAGCCAGCUUGACUGCGAGCGUGACGGCGCGAGCAGGUGCGAAAGCAGGUCAUAGUGAUCCGGUGGUUCUGAAUGGAAGGGCCAUCGCUCAACGGAUAAAAGGUACUCCGGGGAUAACAGGCUGAUACCGCCCAAGAGUUCAUAUCGACGGCGGUGUUUGGCACCUCGAUGUCGGCUCAUCACAUCCUGGGGCUGAAGUAGGUCCCAAGGGUAUGGCUGUUCGCCAUUUAAAGUGGUACGCGAGCUGGGUUUAGAACGUCGUGAGACAGUUCGGUCCCUAUCUGCCGUGGGCGCUGGAGAACUGAGGGGGGCUGCUCCUAGUACGAGAGGACCGGAGUGGACGCAUCACUGGUGUUCGGGUUGUCAUGCCAAUGGCACUGCCCGGUAGCUAAAUGCGGAAGAGAUAAGUGCUGAAAGCAUCUAAGCACGAAACUUGCCCCGAGAUGAGUUCUCCCUGACCCUUUAAGGGUCCUGAAGGAACGUUGAAGACGACGACGUUGAUAGGCCGGGUGUGUAAGCGCAGCGAUGCGUUGAGCUAACCGGUACUAAUGAACCGUGAGGCUUAACCUU
rnacentral:rRNA from 1 species